UGAAAAAGGAGAGCUUGGCUUUGUUCUUCUUGGCUACGUAUGGAGAUGGCGAGCCUACUGAUAAUGCUGCCCGGUUCUACAAAUGGUUUACAGAGGGGAAAGAGAGAGGAACCUGGUUGGAAAAUCUUCAAUUUGGUG